rnacentral:rRNA from 2 species
UACGGAGGGUGCAAGCGUUGUCCGGAUUUAUUGGGUUUAAAGGGUGCGUAGGUGGCCCUGUAAGUCCGUGGUGAAAGCCUCUCGCUUAACGAGAGAACUGCCAUGGAUACUGCAGGGCUUGAGUCCAGACGAGGUUGGCGGAAUGGAUGGUGUAGCGGUGAAAUGCAUAGAUACCAUCCAGAACCCCGAUUGCGUAGGCAGCUGACUAGGCUGGUACUGACACUGAGGCACGAAAGCGUGGGGAGCGAACAGG